UUUAAGUUUGUAUUUGGGGGAAAUGAGUGGGUGGGUAACUAUAUCUCAAUCCCUUUCCCCUAUAAGGAAGACCGGAACGGAGGGAGAAGGACAUCACGGCUAGCUUGCCCUGUGUCCUGGAGGAUGACCGAUGGCACCGAGGACAGAAGCUCUUUGGAUUGGAAAGAGCGCAAGGUGGGCCCAAGGCAAGAGGAAUCUGGACACCUUCUAGGUCCAGUGCCGCUGUUGG
rnacentral:lncRNA from 1 species